rnacentral:tRNA from 2 species
GAGACAUUAGUAAAAUGUACUAUUACACCACCUUGUCAAGGUGGUAUUGUGGGUUUAAACCCCACAUGUCUUA